AAUCUCGCAUCUUUUUUUUUUCUCCCUUGCUGAACUCGUCCUCCACUGCUCCUGAGUCUUCUUACGGGAUCCCCAGGUGACCCUGCAUAGCCGGAGUCCUCACCAGCUCGGGUACCGGGAGAUCCUCAGGAGGUCAGCGAGUCAUGCCGAGCGUGUGGCCAGGACUGGCGGGACCCGGUCACCAUCUGCCUUGGGGACCCGAGUGCAUGUGAGCUGCGGAGCUUGGGGCGAGUCCCCACCGGCGGGUGGCCCUGGGCCCUAUCCCUCUGUCCCGCGGCGGGGGUGGUAGAUGCCGGGUCUCCGAGGUCAGCUACUCAGUGUAUUACCGAGUCUCUGUUGGCGGGUGGCCCUUGACUUUGGCCCUUGGUCCCUCCCGCUGGGUGCGUUGGGAGGCAGAUUCCCCAGGUCAGCUGCAGAGCAUGGCUGAGUCCUCUCUGGCGGGUCGCCCUGGGCUCCUGUCCCAUGGGUGAGCUGGGCAGCAGGUCCCUGCCCCCUUUUCUGCUCCCUAUUGGCGACCUCCCUGGUUCAACUCUGGGCAGUUUAUGUGGCCUGAUGCUCCCAGAGUGCGUGGUGAGCAGGGGAGGAUCAGGGUUCUGGACUAAGGUGUGUUCUGACUGUGACAUUUGGCCUUAGGGGUCCCCGUCUGUCCCUCUUUUCUCCCCAGGAUUAUGAGUCCUACGGACACAUACUGCUAAAUGUGCAGGAAACGGUAUCAAAUCCAUUUUCCAUUCUGGAACCUGGCUCCUCCUAAGGCUGGCAGCAGACACCUGAAAUUCUAGUUCCCUCCCGAAUUCCCAGAUGCCAGCUGCACCCUCCAGUUCACACUUUGCCAACCAUUUGUUCCAGUCUACAAAUAGACAGUGUUUUAAUUGUGGUAGUUUCACUUAUUAAUGAAUGAUAUUAAAAAACAACAACAACAACAAAAAAAAAACAUUUUAUUUUAUUUAUUUUUUAACAUGCACAAACAUUUCCCAGGAGUGGAAUGCAGAGAGGAAUGACCUGGAAGUUGAGUUUAAAAAGUACUUAUUCCUCUCUUCAUCUUGCCCAGACCCAGACACCUGUGCGGUGCCUUUGGGCAGAGGAGUUCUUUGGAUAUUGAACAGGGUCCUGUGUCCUCAGUCAUUGUUCUGUCUUUUCCUGGGGCUGCUGCAAGUUGCCCUAAGCUUCCCUGUGCCCUGCAGGGUGCAGGCAAUUUUAAGCUCUGCAUCAGCUCCUCCUAGAGGACAGCCUGAUUUGUGGGGAGCAGCCUCCCAGGGGAGCAGUCGGAGAUACCCAGGUCAGGCAGUGAGAUGCUGGUGUUGAGGGAACAUGACACACAUGGUUCCUGCCCUCUGGAUGUGCUCAUAGCUUUGAAGGAAGAACAAUUAUCCUAAAGAGCAGGGGAAACUGACCCCAGCAAGGUGGAGCAAAGCCCUACAAAGCUUUUCAGCAGCAGGAGGGGGUGGGAGGAUGUGCCUGGUGACAGAAGCCUUACCUGAAGCUGGAGUCUGACAGGUCAGUGUCCAGUGGUGCUACAGUUCCCCAGGUUUGUUGCCUUGGAAAGACUGGCUCACUUAUUUUAGUAUCAGUUUUUCAUGAACUGUAAAAUGUAGUUUAUUAGUAGAGCUGAUUAGAAAGUAUCCCUAAAGGGUAAGAUAGAGAUACAAUUCAGGGGGAAAAAAAGAAGGCUAGAAACAGAAAAGAAAGAAACACUUGGCCUUAUAUUCCCUUAGUUAAAAAUACUUAUGAAUGUUUUUGUUCCCAAGAGUGAAUUUACCAUCUUUCUCAGAUGCCUUCUUUUUUGGAGAGGAGUGGAUGUUGAUAAUUUAAAAUAGAAUUCCAGGACUUUGCUUUGGGAAUGCUACCUGGGAAUAGAAAAAGGGAAAACUUAUGUUUCAGUUUGGCUGCAGAUAUGAAUGCCCCAGAAGAAAGUGUGGUAGAGAGGUCGGUUUCUUUAUUACAAAGAUUCAACCUCACUAAGUUGAAGAGGGCCUUGUUAAGUUGCUGAGGCUGGUUUUGAAGUUAUGUUCCUUCUGUAUCAUCCUCCGGAGUCACUGGGAUUACAGGCCUGCACAGUACCCUUUUCUCCUUUCAGAUGUGUUCUUUAUGGGAAAGUGGGGGUGGGAGAGUGGUUUGAAAUAGAAUUCCAGGGCUUGGCUUUGGGAAUGCUACCUAGGAAAAGAAACAGGGAAGAUUUCUUCCAAUAUGGUUGCAAAAAGUGAGUAUAUUAACCCAAUUCAUUGUGAUAGAUGAAUUGGUUCAUUACAAAAAUUCACCAAAACAUCAGCUCUGUAGUUUGCAGGGCUUUGGAAGUGGAUGAGUCUGUUCUGUACCCUGUGAACUGCAGGUGAAUGUUUAACACUGAUAACAUUGACAGAACUUGGAAUUCCUAAUAGAAGUCACAUAUGAUGAAUGGUUACCAAAUAUUAUCUGGGAUAUAGCAAUUAAAUAACAUGUUUAUUGUCUGAAAAGGAGUACCUAGAUUUUCCUGUUGAAAUAUUAAAUUUAAAUGGAUAACAGGAAUGCUCCACUGUACCCAGCAAAGAAUUUCAUUCCUUCAUUGAAUCAAAGAUUUUUAUGGCAUCGGUUAACAACUAUUUGCAUAGAGUAAUUUGAUGUAAAGAGGAACAGAGAAGUCUUGAAAUAAUUUUUUAAUGCUUAGUUUAGUAAGAAUCUGUAAACCCAUAUAUCCCUGUCUAAAUAGGGACAAGGUGGCCCUGGGCAGGCUCCCUCUCUCUCUCUCCCUGCUCCCCCUACCUGUGCAGAGAGGUGGUACAGUGCCAGUUCCUUCUGUCAUUCCUUGUAUUUUAACCAGCUGUGAGGAAGCAGAAUUUUAUUUGUUUUUGUCUUAUUUGAGUUUUCAGUAACUGAAUGUUAACUAUUAGUGCUCUACCACUGUGGUGCUGUAACGUGCAUUGUGUGGGUUCUCUGCCUCAGUUGGCUAGACUCCUUUUGCUGUCUGAGGCCGUGGGUCUCCUAGGUCCCUCCCAAGUUCCUUCUUCCAGAACCUCACCUGUUUCCAGUGUAACUUUUAUGUUCUUUGCAAUUUCAUUCUAUUUUUAAAUUUGGUCCCCAAGUUGGCCCACUUUAUAAGUACGUGCACUUUGGAAAAUCGUGGUUAUGGAUAAAUUGCAGUGCAGUGUGUGGAACAGCUCUCUGGCCAUUCAUCCAUGUGUGUUUAUCCCUCUUACCUGUCUGUCUGUGUUUACUUUGUGUGACUAGAUAUAGUUUUUCACUGAAUACCAUUUGCAUGAACAUUUUUCUGUGUAUUUCCAUGUUCUUGUAAAUGGUUUUCACUCAUUUUCUCAUGUUUAGUUCAUUUGUGAGGUUGUUUCUUUUUUCUUUUAAUAUUUUCUGUACAUGAAUUUAUUUCUCUUUGUAAAGACCGCAGACAUCUGCCCUGAGGUAGGGCAGCCUUUUUGCCUCCUCUUGCAGUUUGAUGGAGAGACCCCCUUUUAAUAGAUGUGACUAUAUCAUUCUCUUUCUUUUGAAUUUAUCUUAUUAAGAAAACCUAAAGGACAAGGGGUAUAGGAGGUUCCAGAGGUAAAUGCUUACAUGUCCCCUCCUGGCCAGCAGGGAAUGAGCCCUCCUGGGGCCACAUUUCAGCAGUCAGACUGUGGCUCCCAACUUGGGAAUGUGUUUACCCUUCUACAAGUUGGUUUUCAUUCUGAACUGUGGGAGAAGCAGGUGCCUUAAAGUGUUUGCUUUUCCUUUUAUUGAAUUCUUUCUAUUAUUACCAUAUAAUUAGUUUUUCAUGCAUUUAAUAAUUGUAUUUCCUGAUUAUAUUUUUAUUUUUUUGACUGAAAAUGAGUUGACUGAGAGGUAAAAUAUUUGGAGGCCUUGGUCAUGUAGCACCAGCCUCUUCUAAAGUGAUGGAUGCCUGUCCCCUCCUUUUCAGUAAGGCCGGACCUGGCACUUACCAUCUCUGAGGUCAGGGUUGGCUGCAUUGGACACCAAGGCUGUAAUUCCUCAUAUAGGCUUGUGACUCUGUACCCAGAAAGGCAGGAAGACAGUUCUGCCUAAGUAGAAAUGUUCCCCUGGUGGGGCAGGUCCCCUUGCAGGAAGGACACCCUGCCUGAAAAGUGCUUUUGCCAAGACAGUGUCUUUCUGGCCUCAUUUAUCCAGGAGUCUAAUACAUCUCCUGUCACUUAGGGUCCCAAAGGGUAUGUAUGUGGGCUGGAGUAUGCAGGGGUCUUGUGGCACCCUGGGCAGUCAGAGGCAGCUGGUGGGAGGAGGUGGCCUUCCACAGUCAGAGGCCUUCAUCUCUCACCCUGUGCAGCUCAGAAUUCAUCUCCAGGACUGUAUCUUCUCUGCUGUGUGAGGCCCAAGUGACUCUGGCUUAGAUUUAUCUCCCUGUGACCUGCAGGUGCUAUGAGAUUCCAGGGAGGAUGUCAGGACUCCCCAGAAGGCAGGAAAUGGUGAGUGUGUGGGGCCUGGACUGCUCAGGGAAGUGGGAUGGUUAGAACUGGUGGGAACCAGCUGUGGCUGGACUCUGGCCUCCCACUGUCAGCCCCAGAGUCAGCCAGCCCAGACCUGAGUCAGAUGCUGCUACAGCUCAGCCCUUGAUGCCUUCAGGACAUGGUGUGGGCUGGUGCAGGUGGGUUCUCAGUAUGCUGCCUGGUCUGCAGCCACUUUGGCAGAACCCUCUCUGCCCAGCUGGACCCCAGCCCUAGGCCCUCAGUGUGUAGUGAAAGCAGAGGGCCUCAUGGAUCCUGCUUCAGGUGUAGGGCUCCUGUGUGGAGGAUGCUGAUCUGAGGAUUUGUGCUCCUUCUCCCCAGGAGUCACCUUGCUUUCCCCACCCAGCCCCUGCUAGGGUUGUUGGCACAACCUUAAUAUUCCUAACCUCUCCUCACAUUUCUAGAAUGUAUCUCCCCCUCCUCUUCACAGCAUUAUCAAUUCCUUGCUCCUCAUACUGCAUUCCAGCGGCACAGCAUGAAAGAUUUGUUUUCUGUUUCUGAAUUUGCCAUGUGGUGAGAGCAGAGGACAGUCAGCUGGAACUCCACUGUUAAAAGACUUUGUUCCUGUCUUCCUUUAUCUUCCCCAAGCACAGACAAUGUAAAAUCUUUGGGUAGAAAUUUCCUUUGACUCUUCACAGGGUCCUGUGUCCUCAACUACUUUCCUGUCCUUUCUUGGGGCUGCCCAAAGGUGCCCACAGCUACCUUGUGUCCUGCAGGAAGCAGGCAAAUUCAGGCCCUGGGUCAGCCUUCCUAGAGGACAGCCUGAGGUGUGGGGUGUCGACUCUCAGGGGAGCAGCUGAAACCCCUGGGGCUGAGGAAUCUCCUUGAACAGGCCCCAACUAAAGAGCUUCCUCCUUCUGACUUUGUCUCCCAAGCCCUAUCCCCAUUCUUUGGAGACAGGUGGACAGUGAGCCUGUGGAUGGUGGUGCUGAGGGGCCAGGUCAGGAGUGAUUCCUGCCCUUGCAUUCUCUCACAGUUGUGUAGGAGGAAAACCCCAGUGCAGUGCUGUGCAAACCUGAAAAAUCUCAAAAGACUGGAGUCAUGGUCCAGGUCUCUUGGGAGGGUGAUCAUGGAGUGUUUUGUGAUCGAGACCAGGUAGGAGGAUGUCCAGUUCUCAGGGAACCUUCGUUGCCCCUUCAGCCUGACACAUCUGUGCUCCCUCAGCACCAGCCCUUUCUGUGUUUAUCACUUUGAAAUAAUUUGCUCACCUAUUAGAGACCUAGGUUUCCCUUAAACGUGAAAUGUAUGUAUUCAGAGCUGAGCAUGGUAAAAUAUUCUAAAGAGGUAAGAAGAAGUAGAUUUAAAAAAAAAAAAACCUAAUGUUUUAUUUGAUACAAAUUCUUUCUUAUCUUUCUGCUUCUUCUGAGCAUGUAUAGAAAUAUCUAGAGACCUCAAUUUUUAAAUAAUUUGAUUUCAAAUGGAAUUACAGGUCCUGGACUCAGGAAUAGUACUAGAAAAAAAAAAAUCCAUCUGUCAUUUUUGCUGAAGAAAGUGAUUAGAUAUUCACAAAACCUUAGUAGGUAAAUUCAGACUACAAGGAUCCAUGAGAAUAUUGGUUCCUUUGUACAGUUAAGAAUUCCUGAUGGUGGAGAGUCUGUUUUGUUUCCUGUUUUCUGAACUUGGAAGAUUAACAAUAAAUUUUAUGAGACAAACAUGGCAGUUGCCUGAAAUAUCAAAAUAUGAUCAUUGUUUACAAAUUGAUUCAGUAUCAUGAAAAUUGUUAUUAAAUGACAUCUCUGCUGCGUGCACAGAACAUGUUUACAUGAGAACACUAAUAAUUCAUGAGCAUCCUUCAUGAUUUCAUCUAAUUCCAUGUCCCUCCCAGAUGCCCCUUCCUAAUACCAUUCCACUUGGAGUUCACCUUGCACCUUGUGAAUUUUGGGGUUUGCAUGGACCUUCUGACUAUAAUACUACCUGAUGGUGUUCUCUACAAGGUGUUGGAGACUUCUGGACAUUUGGCUACUCUUAGAUAUUCAUCUACUCUUUCCACUUGUAGAAGUAGUUUUCUGAAUUUCCUCAACAAAGCCAUCCUGGUCUUGGAUUUCACAGAAUUUAAGAAAUGAAGCUAGAGAAACAAAAAAGCUGCUUCUCCACACUUUGAUCAAAAUGCAUGCAAUUCAUUUCUUCGUUUCUCUUGUUUCUUAUUUCCUGUGUCUGCCGAAUCCAGCCAUCUGUGGUCCAGGCAGGUUGGCUGCCAGAAACUGUUCACAUCAUGGCAUAUCACAUAGGCUACAACGCCUUGAGGAAUGAGUUGGAAGUGUUACCUGCUUCCUUUUAGAGGGAAUUAAGGGUAGUUUUCAUUUCCUCCUUAGUGUGGUGCAGAAUCCACCAUGACAUUACUGGGCCAGGCCUUUCCUCUGAUGAUGGUUAGUUAUCACUUCAUUAGCCUGUCCAUGUUGUGUGUUCCUCCUUCUGUGUGACUUGUGGUAGAUUGUUUCUCUCCAAGAAUUGGUCCAGUGAUGAAGAUCAGGAAUUGAGCGAGACCAGAAACAGUACACAGGGGACCCAGAGCUGUGGAAAGCUAAGGAUGUUUAUUUUAAGCAACCCAGACAUUAUAUAUCCCUUGUGUUUGAGUUAAGCAAGUUGUUUGAGGUUAACAUAAGCAAGAUACCAAGAAUAACAUUAAAAUAAUGCAAUGUUCACAAGCUACUUCUUUAAUCUCUGUCUUAGAUCUAAGUCCAAUGAUUAAUCACAACUUAAGGGGAACAAGUUAACAUGAAUGUUCCCCAAAAUAAUUUUAACCACAGAGUACGCAUAAAGCAAGACUCAGUCUUAAGAGGAACUUGUGGCAAGUCUGAUCACGUCAGCAGAGUGUGUCCUGAGAAUAGUGUGCUGUUCUUGCUUGCUCUGGUGUGCCAAGAGUUCGGAGGAUGUUAACCUUCCACAUGUCUUGAGACUUAAAGCACUCCAUCAGUCCAGUAUAUUGGAGUUCACAAAUUGUGGCCACACAGUUCUUAAUAAUAUUCCUUUAUGGUUCUUUUGCUCUCUGUAGGAUUAAUAAUAGUCUACUGAGUUUCUUUUCUACUGAGUUAGUUUUUGUCUUUUUCUUUACUUUGCUGUUGUGUGUCAUUACAAGGAUAUUCAUGAUGAACCCGCUUUUGAUUUUUAUUCUAUUGAUUUCAAGAUUGCAGUUUCUUUGGUGUCUUAUAUGCUAGCAUCAGAUGUAUGUUCACCUUGUUCUUUGUUCUUUAGUUCCUAAAGUGGAAGUUUGAAUAGUUGAUUUUAGUUCUUCUUUUCUAAUGUAAGCCUUCAGCAUCUUUAAUCCCCCCUAAGCCCUGCCUGUGCUCUGUUCCACAAAGUUUCCUAAGAUGCAGUUUCAGUUCUUUUCCAUUGAAAUAUUCAGACUGAUCCUGAGACACCCUUGACCCAUGUGCUGUUUAGAACUUUGGGAUUUGACCUGCAGAUAUCUGGUGGUCCCCCAGCUGUGUUUCUGUUACUGAUGCCAUGGUAAUUCCAGUGUUCCUGGUGCCAUGUUGGGAUUUGGUAGCCUUCUGCACUAACGCCUGUUGGGGCUUAGAGUGUCUGGUCUUAGCGACUGUCCUGUGAUGUUGAGAAGGAUGUGUGCUCUGCUGCUCUUGGUUGAAGUGCCCUAGAUGUGUCCAUGAAAACACUGUAGUGGGUGUGAUGUUGAGUCAGACUGUCAUCUUGAGUGCUCUCCUGUGUGCUCCAUCUGUCACUCACUGUUAUAUGAUUGCUAUCGCCAUGUUUCCUUGUGAGUCUCUCACUUGUUUAUCAGGUGUUUUGAACUGUUGUAGGUCAUGCAUCUAAAUGAUCAAGGUAGUGGGUUUUAAGUCUUUUUAGUGAGUCUAGUGUCAGUAAUGUUUUUUUUUUUUUUUUUUUUUUUGGUGCUGGGGACUGAACCCUGGGCCUUGUGCAUGCAAGGCAAGCACUUCACCAACUGAUCUAUAUCCCCAGCCCUCAAUAGUGGUUUAAUUCAAGCAUUUUUUCCACUGAUGAGAUGUAUUUUCCUAUUGUGUGUUUUUUUAUUUUGUUGCUUUCAAAAAGUGGGUAUAUGAAUAUUAUAAUGGUUCCUCUGAAAUUAGUUUUUCCCUCUAUUCAGAGUUUGCUCUUGUUUGCUAUUAUGUGUAGUGACUUUCCAGAGUAUUUUUGGAGACAGUAGUUUAGUUGCUCAGUGUACUCAGAGGGUCUCUCUCAGCUUUUUUUGAGCCUGAGUUUUGACAGAAUUCCGUGAGGAAAUAGCUGGAAAGAAAACAGAAGAAACAUCAAGAGCUCAGCUCCUCCAGGGCCUGUGGACAUUUGUGCUGGGGCUGCUGCUUUAACACAUGGUCAUGCUGUUCGUACCCCUCCAGCCUCAGUUCUCUGCAGAACUGAGCCUGGAGGGCAGCCAGUGCUCAGCAUUGGGUCUUGGGGCUCAAGGUGAGGCAGAACAUCAUGGGGGAAGAUUGUGUGGUGAUCAGGAAGCAGAGAUAGAGGUUUCCACUCACCAGAUACAAUAUAUCCCCCAUAGCCACACCCAGUGAACCUCUUCCUCCAGCUACACCCCAGCUGCCUCCAGUCACCACCCAGUUAAUCCCAUCAGGGACUAAUUCACCAAUUAGGUUAAAGUAUAUAACACAAUCAUUUUUCCUUCAAACCUUCUUGCAUUGUCUCACACAUGAACUUUUGGGGGACACCUCACAUCCAAGCUGUAAUACUCAGACUGCUGUCUUCUAUAUUAUCAUGCAUGCAUUAAGCAUAUAUAUUAUGUACUAUAUAUUAUUGCUUUUAUUAUUGUUCCAUAUUUGUUUUUGGGAUUCUUUUAUAAAUGAAAUUUUGUCUUAAUUUCAUUUCAGUAUUUUAUUUCAUAUAUAGAAGUUGAUUUUUUAUUAUGAAUUCAUUUUUAUUGAGGAAUUUUUUUCUUUUCUUUUUCUACCAACUGAGCUACACACCCCAGCCCCUUUUAAUUGAUUUUUAUUGAGUUUUGUGUCUUACUUUUUCACUGCUGGCCUUGAGCACACAUCUUCCUAUUUAUUGGGUGCUUCCAGGUUUUAAGCACCACUUGUCCUGUUGCUGUAAGUUUUGCAGUGCGGCGUGCACGAGGACCUACAUGUGGACUCAUUUGGGAUACAUCAACUUUGGGAAAUGGCUUGGGGUCCAGGAACCACCACUGUGACAUAUGACAUGCAGAUGAUCACUUCAGCCUUUGAAAGUUGAGCGGUCAUGGCCCUGUGAGGAGGUUUGUGUGAGGCCUCUGUGUAUGUGUGGGUGUGCUGGAGCCCCACAAAUUCUCAGGUUCUGAUCUCCCGCUGUGAGCAGGCUUUCUGGUAGGAGCAGCAGUGAAGGAGCAACCUCAAAUGUCCCUGUUCUUUUGCAGUAGAGACUCUAGGGAGCGGGAAGCCAGAAAUAAGUCAAAUGCACAUUGUGUGAGCUGGUUGCUGUGGAUGAUGGAGAGAGGUGAUGGGUGCAGAGGCUGCUCUGACUCCUCCCAUCUUGGGGCCUGUGGAUGCUGUCUCUGUGGGUGAGUCCCACCUGUCUUCCCACCCUGUCCUCCCUCUGGUGACAAUCUUGUACUUUCUGUGAAAUCACUCUGUAGCUCACCCUGUGAGGGGGACACACAAGGGCCUUGUGUGCUGCUUUCUUUCUCUGAACUUGGUGCCAUAGUCCCAGCCUCAGUGCUGCAAAUGACAGGACUGAAAGGUGUUUUUGGUGAAAUCAAAUUGAUCUGUUAUGCUUUCAUUAAUCUCAUGGAUGGUACAACAUCCCAGAAACCAUUUCCAAAUCUAGUGUUGUGAGACUUGUGCUCUGCAUGUUCUUGUGGGAAUUGAUGAGAUUUACAUCUUAUGUUCUAAUCCUAGGGGAAAGCAUUUUUUUUUUCACCAUAGGUCAUGAUGGUCCUCUCUGCUUUCCAGGUAUUACUUAAUUAAGUUGAAGUAUCCCCUUCUAGACCUCAUUUGUUGUGCUGUUUAUUGUACAAGUGUGUUGUCUUUUUCAAAUGUUUUUUUUCUGCACCAAGUGAGAUGGCUCUGUGUUUCAGUCAUGUUGCAAAUCCUGUGUCACACCAAUUGAUUUUCAAGUGUGAGACCAUCUUGCAGUUCAAGAAUACAGUUCCUUGGUCUGUAUGUGUAUUCCUUAAAUGAAUCUCCUCAGACGGUUUAUUGGUAUUUAUUUGAAGAUUUUUGCAUAGGUAUUCAUGAAAGACAGUUAUGUGCAAUUUUUUAUACAUAAUCAGCACAAUUUUGGCCUCAAGGAGUGAUUGUGGAAGUGCUUUCCCCUUUUCAGUUUUCAGAAAGAAUUUGAAGAAGAUAUGUAUUAAUUGUGGUGAAUUUGGGGGAGAUUUCAGCAGUGAACGGCUGCUCCUGGGUUUUCAUUCACUGAGGCUAAUUCACUCUGUCCAUGUCUAGAACUGUUCAUAUUUUCUCUUUCUUCUGUAUAUGGUGUGUUUCUCGACUUCUGUCCACUUCCUCUGUGUCACUCCAUCUGUUGUACCUGGGGACUUGUUAACUGAGGUGUGACCUACGGUUCCUUCAGCCAUGCUGUUGUGAUGGAGGUAUUCUGCUGGUGGUGCAGUGUCUUUUCGGGGGCAUUCUCUUGACUGGGCCUUGCCCUGGUCUUCAGGACACUCAGACCUCCCAGGGCCAUUCUUCAUGAGCACUUCUCAGCCCUUCCUCCUCCUGAUCUAUGCAGGAAGAGUAGGGGAAGAUGGGCUGGGGGUUCUCCUUCCCCAGACGUGUUGGCUGAGAACGUCUCAGGUGAAUGAGCCUUUGGAAAGAGCUUCUUCAGAAUGUAGGGCUCAGGAAGGAUGGGUUCUCUGGGAAUAGUAGAAAAUGUCCUCUUUCUUGUCCCCAUGCCUUAACCAGUGAGCUUGAGGUGGGGCAAGAUGUAAGCAUGCAUGUGUACAAGGUCAUAGGGAGCUAGUGAAGGAGGGAGAGAGGGAGAGAAUCUUCACUGUGAUAUACUGUCAGUGUCUCUGGGGAAAAAACAUUAUAAAUUUGUAGGAAUAGUCAGGAAAACCCAUGGGCUGCAGGUCGUGGUAAAUUUCACAAGAGACAAUACUGCUGCAGGGGGAGCCUCCUGCUCUCCCCAGUCCUCCGUCCUGACCCAGGGGUCCUGGGCCUGCAGUGGGUGUCAAUGCCAUGUGCUUGCCAUUCUCCUGGGCCUUCCUCUUCACUGAGGUGGUCCUCUCUCCACACGUGGCUUUCACCUUCUGCUCCACGUCCUGGUGUUCCAUUUCAGUUGUGCAUUUAUUCCUCUCACUCUGUGAUCUUGCUCUGUGGUGUUGCACGUAUUGCAGGUUUCUCCUCCAUUUUUAUCUUUUAAUUCCCUUUAUUUAAUGUAUUUGAAUUUCUCAUUUUUUUCAAUAUUUACUCUUUCAAUGUUUACUCUUUGUGAAAAAGAGUUUUGGAUUCUGUAAGACAUUUCUUAUACACAUCUGAAAGUGUUUAGUUUUGUUUUUCACAUCAGAAUCUCUAAUGAACAAUAGUCUAUGGAUUAGAGAGGAAAACAGUGCAUGUUUGCAAUUAGAUACCAGUUAGUUUUGGUCCCAUUUCACAUUGUUUGUGAUUUAUUUUUCCCUCUCAAAUACCUUUUAUGUCAUUAUUAAGCUCUUCCUAUAAUUGUCAGCCCCCUGAAAAUUUUUUUCUGUCUUGCUUCAUUCUUACUCUGUCUGAUAGCACAGAAUCAGCAGAUAGAGUAAGAAUGAAACAAUAAUUCUGAGUAUCAUAAUAGAAAGUCCUUUAUGUACAUUCAUAUGUCACAUAAAUACAGGGAUACAUUCUGGAGGAGCAUUUUUAGGCUGCCUCACCAUUGCACAAACAUCUUUCUGUAUUCCCCAAAUCCUGGAUGGCACAGCCUCUUGCACACCUAGGCUUUAUGGUCUCAAUGUUUCCUGGGAUAAAAAUCUCCACAGCAUUUUGCUUUAUGAAAUACUGUAGUUAACAGUACAUUAGGUUUGUUUAUACCAGCAGCACUGUGCACACACAAGGAGUCCCUUUACUACAGACAACUUUAGUAUAUAUUAAUAAUAUAAUAAUAAUGACCUAUUAUUAACCCAAAACACCUUUGAGCAAAACGUUAUUAUGAGGCACAUGACUGUAGACUAUAUAAGCCAACAGUCUGCUGCAUUUACACAUUAAUUAUUCUUAUUAUGCUUGGAAAAGUAGCAUCCAUUGACUACUCCUAAGUGUUAUUGAGAUUAUAUCAAAUUAUAUAUGGAUAUCACAUGGAAGAAUGACAUCUUAGGGAUAUUGAUUUUUUUUUUUUUUUUUAUUCAUGGUAGCUUUCUACUUAUCCCAUUCUGUUUUGACAUCAACUUAAAGAAAGUAUCAACUUGUUCUGUGUGUUGAUCAUUAGGCCUUCAGUAAAUCUGUUUCAAACAACCAGUGGUUCUCUUGGUGUAGUCCGACAGGAUGAGCUCAAUCCCCAGUUAACACAUUGUGACCACCUGGAUGAAAUAUUGUCUAUCAGAGAGUCUGUGCCUGUCCAAAGGGAUUAUUUUUAUUUAUUUAUUUAUUUAUUUAUUUAUUUUUUGAGGGGGUGGCAGGAGUUGAGGGACAGGGACCUGAUCCUUUAAGGUCUUAUCCUAAGAAAAGAACUAAAUAAUAGGCUUUCUGAAGGAAAGCAGACAUCUAGUAUAUAGCAUGUUGUUUCCCUGCUAUAACUAUAACUAUACUAUAACUCAGUGUUAAUGCUCAGUUUGGUAGGAUCCCUCCCAAAUCCUUAGGUCUCCCUAUCUGCAAACUUUCAACUUUGUCAGUAGGCCGUUCUAAGGGUGUGCACUGUCAGGAGGACUAAUAUUAGUUCUCUUCUUCACAUGAGGUAGUAGGGCUUCAUUAGUCCAUGUAUUAGACAUGCACCCUACAAAGACUCCAUGAGAAGGGUGUUUUUCUAUUGCUUUUCUAAGUAGUUCCUUUCUAAUAUUGGAAUGCAUAUGUUUGCGGAAGUAAGUUCUGACAGUUUGAGUUUUUCUGGACAAAUCAUGGAGUAAAUAUUGGAGACCUCAAAAUCAUGUGAAUAUCUUGUGUGUAGAGAAGAGAUCCCUCAUGUUUUCAAUCUCUUCUGGUCUCCAACACACAUUUGUGUGAUAUUUUAGAAUAUUUAGAUAUUUUUGAUGAUACAUAAUUCCUAAUGAUUUUAUGGUUUCCUUUCAGGAAGUAAACAGUAUGAUCAGAACAUUGAAGAUCAGAGCAAAAACUCCAUGGAGGAAUCUAAGGUAAUUUUACUCAAAAGAGGAAGCAGGGUCCCUUGAGGGAAUUCUAGCACAUCCUAUAAGUUUACAUGCAAGGAAACAAAAGAAAUAGGCACAGUAUAGAAUUCUUAGCAAUUUUUCACCAGAAAUAUAAGCUUAAUGAAGAUAUAUAUUUAGUGUAUAAAGAAUAAUUGAUUUUCUGACAGUACUGAUACCACAUUCUUGAUACCACUGGUUUUGUUUUGAGGGGGUAACAGGGAUUGAACUCAGGGGCACUUGACCACUGAGCCACAUCCCCAGCCCUACUUCUUUUUAUUUGAUUUAGAGACAAGGUCUUAUUGAAUUGCUUGGCCCCUUGCUUUUGCUGAGGCUGGCUUUGACCUUGUGAUCCUCUUGCUUUAGCCUCCAGAGCCUUUGGAAUUACAGGCAUGCAUCACUGUUUUUUUAAUAGCUAUGCAAGCAAUUUUUCAACAUAAUCAAUUCAUUUACUCUGAAAUGAUUUGGACGUGACAAAAUCUGUGCUUUCUUUGGUAUUAUAAUAAUGAGAGUCUAAGAUCUAUUAAAGAAAAAAAAACAAUUAGAAAAACAAAAAUAAAUAUGUGCUUUUAAUUUUUCCAGAAGUCAUAUGACAGACUCUACCAAAAUUAAAACAGAUAUUCAUUGUGGAAAACCCUUUAGUGAGAUCCCAAAUCUUAACCUAAAAAAAGACAUAUCUGCUUGAGUAAAUCAGUGUGAGUGCAGUGUAUUUGGAAAUGUCUUCAUGUUUUCCAUUCUUUUUUUUGGAGGUGGGGGUGCUAGAAAUUUUACUCGGGCACUCACACUAAGCUACAUCCUCAGCCCUAUUUUGUAUUUUAUUUAGAGACAGGGUCUUGGGGAGUUGCUUAGUGCCUCACUUUUUGUUGAGACUGGAUUUGAACUUGAGAUAAUCAUGUCUCAGCCUCCUGAGCUGCUGGGAUUACAGGCUUGGGCCACCGCACCAGGCUCUAUUAUUUCUUAAUAGGCACAUCAUAUUUCAGUCUGCUUAUAAACCAGAUGAACAUGAGAAGUGUGGUGGGAAGACAUAUGAACCUCAGCAGUACAGAAAACCCUCAUUUCUCUCCCAAGUAUUCAAAGGAAGUGAUGAAGCACACUAGAAAUGGACCUUAUGAAUGUGUAUGUAGGAAAGGGUUCAGUUGUUCCCAGAGUUUUCAAAACAUGAACCAUCUCACACUGGAUUAGAGUCCUAGGAAUGUAAGCUAUGUGGAAAAGCCUUUGCUUACUUCAGUUCCAUUUGAAAACACCUACUGGAGAAAAUCCCUAUGAAUGUUAACAGUGUUGGGAAAGCCCUCACUAUUUCUGAUUAUCCCCAACUGCAAUGCAACCAGUGUGGUACAUCCAGUUCCCUUCCAACAGUUGGAUCAAUUCAUACCAGAGAGAAGCAAGAUUGUCAAGAUUGUGGGAAGCCUUCCCUGUUUCUGUUCAUCUUCACUCACAUAAAAGUACUCAUAUUGGAGAGAAACCUUACGAAGGUAAACAGUGGGAUAAAUCAUUUACAGUUCUUACCUGACAGUACAUCGAAUAACUGAGAAGCCCUAUGAAUGUAAACAGUGUGGUCACCUUCAUGCACAUGAACAAACUCAGACGGAAAGAAGGCCUAUGAAUGCAAAGAACGUGGAAAAGCCUGGAGUUGGCCCUCUCACCUUCAAAAGCAGAAACAACUCAUAUGAUUGUGAACAGAGUGGCACAGCCUUCACUUAAAGUCAUGCUCAGAAAACAUCAAACAACUCAUACUGGAGAGAAGCACUGUGGAUGAAAACAAUGGGAAAUGCCUCCCAUUACUGGAGCUUCCUUUUAAAUAUGAAAGACAUUGUGCUUGAAAAAAGCCAUUGAAUGUAGAAAAAAAAAUGUGGCAAAUGAUCUGAUACUUCCAAUCACCUUCAGAGUCAUGAAAGGGCUCACAUGAGAGAAAACCUCUUUGAGUGUAAACAAUAGUUGGUAAGUCAUUGAGUGUUCUCAGUCGCCUUCAAAGCCAUUUCAUUAACUCUGGUAAACAAAACUGAAUGUGUGUUGGUUCCUUUUCCUUCCUCUGCACGGAUUUCUUAUUAUGGAAAGAAGCCCUGAGAAUGUGAGGAAUAUGGGAAGUGUCCAGUUUUCCCAGGUUUUUGUUAUGAUAUCUGGUGCAGGUGUCCAAUGUUCCAAUUCUCCUCAUUUGUUCACUUUCUACCCCUGUGACAAAAUACAUGAGAAAAAUCAACUUAAGGAAGGAAAGAUUUAUUUUGGCUCACUUGAUCAUAGGUUUCUGUCCAUAAUUGAGUGGCCCCAUUGCUCUGGGAAAUGGACCAUCAUGGUGGAAGCGCAGAGCAGGGCUCAUGGCACCCAGAAGGGGAAAGAGAGAGGGAGUAAUGGGCCACCAACCACAUAUAGCCUUCAAAGUCAUGUCUGAGUAGUCCACCUGCUGCAAGUAGACAUCCCCUCCUAGUGUCCUCCUCCCACAGCACCACCAGCUGGGGACCCAGCCUCCAGCACAUGUGGCUUUGGGGGACAUUCCAGGUCCAUCCAUGCUACAGCACUUGAGUUACAUGAAAGAACUCAUGCAGGGCAGUGCCUAGGAGUACAGAAUGUGAAGAGUAUCCCAUCUUUUCAGUUUCCUUCAAAGACAAAUCAGGACUCACAUUAGAGAAAUGCCUGAUGACUAAGAAAUCUGGUAAUGCUUUCAAUUUUCCAGUUUUCUUUGAAAAGAAGGAAGGAUUCACAUGUGGUAAUGAAAUGUGGUAAAUGAAUGAAGAAAUGCCUCCAGGCCUUCAGUUGUUCUAGGUCCAUUCAGACACACAGAAUUCAUUAGUGAGAGAAAGACGAGGAGUGCAUGGAAAGUGGGAAUGCCUUCAUCUCCCUGUGACAUUCAGAGGUGCAGGAUGAUGCAUCCAAAAGAUGUGCGUGUUAGCUCGACUUUAAGGUGUGAAAACACAUCGAUUUUCUGGGUUAAAUCUCUCAUCUUGCAUUGUAGGUCUUUCUAUUUAUAGUUUUCUAUCGUUUUGUUGAGAAUUUUUGUAUCUAUAGGCAAAAAAAAAUUUGUACACUAAUAUGUAGCAUAGAAGUAUCUAGUACAUAGAAUAUAUGUAUGUGCAUAUAUCUGUGUGUAUGCUAUAUAGGAUCAGUACAGUUUUGUAAGUAAAUAGUGUGUAUUAUAUAUACUAUUUUAUAAGAUAAUGUAAUUAAGCACCAUGUGCAUUAUCUAGGAUUUUAUGGCAUCAUAGUAUAGUAUUAAAUUCUUAUUGAUCCAUAGUAUCAGGUAUUUCAGUUUCCUCCUACCAGCCCUAUCCCAAACCACAUAAUUUUGAGGGAACCAAGAGCACCUCACUUUGAUGAUACUACAAAGCUUUGCCCCUUGCCCCUUAUUACAUCAGCAAUCAAGUGCAAUCCCUCUGUGGGCCUGGAUGGCUUCCUGUGCCCUCCUCUGCUUAACUCUGUGUUUCCAUUUUUCUUAUGUGUCCAGUGGGGGUGUUACAUGUUUGUCGAAGUCACCCUGGGUGCUAAUUCAUUUGUAGGUAGUGGUGUGAAUGGGAGGCUGUUAGAAACCUUUACAGCAUAAACAGAAUGGAGUGAACAUGAAUAAAAACAGCUGCUCAGCUUUUACUAAUUGCUCUUGGUGACUGGUUCCACGGCACAAUGAAACCACCUGAGUAGCACCUGCACUUUUUGAUGGGUUUGACCUUGGUCUGCCCACAGUUACUGAUUUGUACCUGGUGUUGCCAUUUCUCCCCUCACAUGAGUACUCACAUCCCCUACACAUAAUGGUUCACUGGCUUUACCCACUGAAUGCCUUCCUCCCUCAAGGCAGUGAAAGAAUAGCUACCCAACAAGUGCUUUAGUCCUGAUUAACAAGAAACAGGCUAAAGCUCUGUGGACCCUGCAUUUAAUUUGGGAACCAUCACUAAUUGCUUGGGAUACUCCUGGGAGAGACUCAGGGAUGGUCUUUUGUGAAAUUCGAGAAAGAAGGGGAUACUCACCUUGAGAACAAUUAAGUACAUCACCUAGUUUCUCAAAGUUGUUUUCAUGGAGCAGGCAAGAGUAGGGGCCUUGCUUGUCUCUCGUGUGCUAAUUACCUUACAGCCCUGUGCACCCUUCUGUUGAGGGGCACAUCCAUGAUGCUUGAUGGUCCAAGUGCUGAUAGGUAAUGCAUGAGGCAUUAGCUCCUCGUGAAACCUGGGAGGAGUAUCUCAACCAUUCAUGCUUCGGAAAACCCCUCACCAGUGUGUGAGUUUUCCUUAGCACUAAUGCUUGUCAGCAUGCUAAAGUCUCAUGGAAGAAGGUUUGCUGGCCUUAGAAAAAUGACUUACUGCAAGUGGGUAUUAACCCACACAGAAAUAAGUCUCAUUACCCGAAGGCUGAAGUGGUGUCUUCCAGUGUGGGUUACUGGGCUUCUGAACUCUUCACCUUAGCCACACAUGAGCACUAGCAGUGAUCAGAUGGAGUCAGUACUGGGGAAACCUGCAAGUUUGCAUCAGUGGAAAUCCAAAACGUCAUAAAUCCCUGUGGGUAGGGAAGGGAAAAGUGUCAUGUGCAGUGAUCAGAUCUAGGAACCCAGCACCUGAUGGCUUGGCUCCCCAAGACCCAGCAGUUGUACUGCCACAGUCACUACUGCCUGUGCCUCUGUCUCAACAAGUGUCCUAGUUCCUGUGUGAAGGGUGUAGAUGGCUAUUUAGAUAUCUUGGACCAAUGCAGUUGUCCCUUGUAGUUCUUAAGAGAAAACAUAGAGGUGAUGAGUAUGUAACUCCACAAUGGAUCCCUUGCUUUACAUGGGAGAGGAACCUGUGUUCAAUCCCCAGUACUGCACAACAGCAAAACAACAAUAAAAGAGCAACUGUAGCUGAGUGUAGUGACACACACCUACAUGUCAGCAGAUAGUGACCCCGAGGCAGGAGGAUAGCGAGUAGAAAGCCAGCGUCAGCAAAUUAGUUAGACCCUAAGCAAUUCAGCAAGACCCUUUCUCAAAAAGUUAAAAAAAAAAAAGGACUGGGGAUGUGGUUCAGUUAUUAGACACCCCUGGGUUCAAUCCCCAGUACCAAAGGAAAACACACACACACACUUACACACACACACAUACACACACUCACAUACAUAUACACACACACACACACACACACAAAAAAAAAAAAAAACAAGCAAAUAAAAUAAGCAACUAUAAAAUGUGUGAUGGAGAAUGAAGACCAAUCCCAUAAAGUCAGUGGCCGAACUUCUUGCAUCUUGGAAAAGAUGAAAAGGAAGGCAAAACACAAGAGGUUAAGGACAUGAGAAGCUUAUGGGUGGCUAUAGGGGGCAUUGGCCUGGGGUCAGCCUGGUUGAUUGGGCCUUGUUUUAGUCAGUUUUUUGUCAGCUGUGACUAAAAGACCUGUCAAGAACAAUGCUGAGGGGGGAUUGUUUGUCCCAGGCACAGUUUCAGAGGUCUCAGUUCAUAGACAUUCCUGUCCAUUGCCCUGGGACCAAGGUGAAGUAGGACAUCUAACAGAAUGGAUGACCGAAGAAAGCAGCUCCAGACAUGGCAACAGAAAGCAGAAAUAGAGCUCUGCUAACCAAAAAUAAACGUAAAUCCUGCAGGAAAGCCCCCAGUGAGCCAGCUCCCCCAGCCACACCUCACAUGCUUGCAGUCACCAAGAGUUCAUCCACUCAAGUGGGUCGAUGCUCUGCUUGGGUUACACACAUGCUAGGCAAGUGCACUAUCACUGAGCCCCAGCCCCAGCCUCUUGAUGACAAUUCUUAGCCUAAAAAAUAAGAGAGGGAAGUGGAAAAGGAAAGCAGGAAGGAAGCCAUAAGUAGGAAAGAGGUGGAGAGGAAUUAAGUGUGAGCAGAUUUUUGUAAGGAAAAUUGAAAUUGAUGAAUACAGAAGACUGUUGUGUGGUGAAAUAAGACUCUUUCUCUUGAAGUAGAAUGUCGGAUUGUUCCUCAAUGGGCAGGAAGCAGUAAGAGUCAAAACUGCUGACGUAUGCACAUUGUAGGUGUAAAAAUGUUAUGACACUUGAUGUGUCCUUCAGAAUUCAUUAAAAAUUUUGAAGCAAAGUUCUCUUUUAUGUAAUGGGUUCACUUUAUUUUUUGAAUGUGGGGGAUUAGGAAAAAGUUAAAAGUCAUCUAAUGGGCAUUUGGCAUAAAAAUUAUGAUAGUCCAGACCUUAUGGAAUUCCUUCACUACAUCCAGGAUAUUCAGGGGAUGCCACAUGGCUUGUUAAAGAAAUUCUUGAUGACUUCAAUGGUUUUAAUCCUUGGAAUACGUUAAAACAUACAAUAUGGUAAAUUCUAGAAUUUUGUGUUUGCUACUAGUUCUCAUUUGUGUUAUAACGAUAAGAUGCCACAUCUUCAGAUAAGAAAUCUGACAGCUCCAAAUAAUAACAAAACAUUUGUGGUCAAAAAAUGAAAAAGGAGGAGUUGUGGAGAGAGGUAACAUUCUCUGAUUGCAUUGUGGUUGUGGUGCACUUGCCCUGGGAAAUUCCUGUGUAAAAGUCCAGAUCAAGAUUUGCCCAGUUGCUCUGGUGACACCCUGCCUGAAGAGGCUCUGUGAAGAGACACAGAGUCACAUCAGUCUUGACCUUGAGAUCACACACCACCUCCCAGGAAUAGAGAAUUCUGAAUAUGACAAAGCCACAAUGUUUCACCCAUGCUGUGACUUCUAUGCCUGCCCACUUAGCAGAAACUCUGGCCAUGGGCUUCCUGGGUGUUAACAUGAUGCCCCUAAGUUUACAACAGUAGAAUAGCUACAAGAAUGUUUCUAGUCUUGUAACUUUUUAAUGCACAAAGAACAAUGCCUCUACAGUCUUUAACUUCCUGAUUAUGAGACACUAUAUAAUACAUGUGUUGUGCCUGCUGUGGGUCACUUCUUCUCCAUUAGAGAUGAGUGCUUCACCUGAUGCCAGAUUUCUCUCUAAAUGUGUGUCUUUCCUAAUCCCCCCUCACUGGUUUUUGAAUUAAGGUCUAUGCAGGUAAGAGCACAGAGUUAUUGGAGAUUGCCUAUAUCAAUUUUAGGUUGAUUCUUUUUUCCUUUAUUUUGCAUAGAAAUACCAUUGGAUUUUUGAUAGGAUUUCAUUGACUUUGUAGGUAAGUUUUGGAUAGUUUUGAUUAUAUUAUGACCUUGGAAAUGUGAAUACUAGCUGUCUUUCCCUUUAUUUGUAUAUAUUUUCAUUUCUUUCAGGAUUAUUUUAUAGUUCUCAGUGUAUAAGCCUUUAAUCUUCUUGGCUAAGUUAUUUCCCAACUUCUAUUCAUAGUAUUUUUUUUCUUUCCUUUUCAGAUUACUCAUUAUUAGUGUAUGUUAAUGUACCUUAGUUUUGCAGAUUGAGUUUUAUGCUCUGCAUCAUUGCUGAGUUCAUUUAUUAGUUUCCUUAAUUUUAGUGUAUUUGAAUUUGUUGCUCUUUGUUACUCUUUUUUCUUCAGUAGAUAAUUUGCCAUUGGGUAUGGUGGCACUCACUUGUUAUCUCAGUUCCUCAAGGGGCUGAGGCCAGCCUGGACAAUGUAGUGAGAUUUAAAAAUAAAAAUAUAAAAAGUGUGUAGCUCACUGAAAGGUAAAGCUGCACUAACAGAAUGUGAUUUGGAGAUUUAGGAAACUUUCUAGGGGUGUCCCUUGGAAGGUGUCAUCUUGUUGACAUUAGUUGUUUCUAAAUCCAUGCUAUAUUUUCUCUUAUCCCACACUGUUUUAACUUUAGUUAAUAGACAGCUUCAUGUUGUUCUGUUUGUUGAUCAUUACUCUUAUUUACUACUUGGCAAAAUGUUAUCUGGAGUAAGCCACUUGUUACCUUCAAAAUGUUUUUGUUUAUUACUAAUCAAAUAGUUUGAGAUGAUUUCUACAAAUCACUGUUUGUAGAAAUAUGAUCUGAAAUAUGAUCUUCUGGGCAGCUGGUUAGAGACUCUGCCUGGAGCAUGGGCUAGUGGGGAAGCUGCUCAUGUCCUCAGCACUGGUGUAAGAGUGGGACAAGAUGGUAGAGUUUGAGAAGGAAAAAAGAAAUCCAAUAAAUACUGUCUGGCUUGUAUAAAUUCAUUAGGAAUAAUGAGCCACGCUUCACCAUUAGAGUGGUAUAAUCUAUCCAAAUCCUGAUUUCCCAUAUGACAGCAAGGUUCAAGUUUGUGUGCAGGCUUUUCUGAGGAUAUAUGAGUUCACAAGUGCUAAUAGGAAGAAGUCCUUUCUUCUUAGCAAGCAGAUGGUUGGGAUUUGUUUUUAGAUGCAUUUGAGGCACAAUCUGCAAAGGGAAAUUUUGGUGGCCCAGGGUAAUAUCUUUCUCCCAGGACUCUCCAGUGACAAGGGUAUUCUUGCUCUAGUACUGCUUUUUUGUGUAAUUUAAUUCUAGUGUAGGAACACCUGCAUUUGAGGAAAUGAGUGUGAUGAGUUCUGAGUUUUGGUGACCAAAUCACAGAAUAAGUAUUUGGGGAGCACAGUGUCAUGUGAACACCAUCAUGUUAAGAAUAUUUAUUUUUUAGUUUUCGGCGGACACAACAUCUUUGUUUUGUAUGUGGUGUUGAGGAUCGAACCCGGGCCGCUCGCAUGCCAGGUGAGCGUGCUACCGCUUGAGCCACAUCCCCAGCCCCCAAGUAUAGAUUCUUAGUAGCUGCCAACCUCACAGCCCUCAACGACACAUUUGUGGGAUAUAUUUAACUCAGUUGCCUUUGGGGAUGUGGCUAUGAACUUCUUUCACCCAGGAGAAGUGGGUUUUGCUGGAUCCAUUGAACAAGAAUGUCCACAGAAAUGUGAUGUAAAAAGUCUCCAUGAUAUUUCUUUACUCAGUCCAAUAGAGAACAUGUGGGCCUUUGCUUUUAAUUAUUUUGAUGUCUUCAAUUUGAAAUAUGUAGAGGUAAUAGUAAACAAAGGAGUCAUGAUUCUGUGGGAGACCACUCAGAAAACACACAAAGUCUGAAUUUGAAGCUAAUUAAAGAAUUUUUAUUUUACCUAUCUGAUCCUGGCCAGGCACACUUUUUAAAAAAUAUUUUUAUUUGUAGGUGGACACCAUACCUUUAUUUGUUUAUUUAUGUGGUGCUGAGAAUCAAACCCAGGGUCUCACCUGUGCUAGGCAAGUGCUCUACCACUGAGCCACAACCCCAGUGCCCUAGGCACACUUCUGACAGAGCCCUAGUAACUCUCUGAAAGAAGCAUGCUAGGCUCUCUGUGGCUGCAGUGUUUGAGAAAGAAAAUCACAUCCUAUGAAUUUUGCAAAUUGCAAGCAAGUAGAGUACAGGGGCUGAAAAUGCAGUUAGCAGAGCAAGUCCAGACAACCACAUCUGGGGGACUUUAUAGUUGCAGGCACAAAAAGUGCAGGGGGGUGCACAAAGUGCAGAAAUACACAUUUUUAUCAUCUUAGAAAUAUCUCAUAUAAUAGUUUCACACAGGAACCAUAAAGUCGGAGUACUUCUUUUAUCUUACUGUUACUUCUUCUAUCUUAUAACUAGGGCAAACCAAGGUAACUUAACAUCCCUAAUUUUAUAACAUUUCUCAUAUAAUCCUAUUAUCCAUGCUAUUUCAUUAAUCUAUAAUCUAUAACCUAUUACUUGUAUUGAUUUAACUCAGAGCAUAACACAAUACAGCAGAAGUACACUAAAAUUUUUGUAGCUCAUUGCAUUUCAAAUGAUUUUACUGGAUCUGCCUUUUAGGCUGCAAAUACAAAUACCAGAACAUUGAUGAGGAGAACAAAAAUUCUGGGAGAAAUCAAAGGUAAUUUGUAGUCAUUCAGCAUGGAGUGACCCUUCAGGGAAUCAUAGCAUGAUAUGGAAUUUUUGGGGGGUGUGAGCCAUUUCAAUUGAACCGUGGUGGACCUUGAGCACAGUAGUCAAGCAUUCUAUCAUUAACCUACAUACCCUUUUCAUGUAAAUUAUUAGAAACAUAGAACAAAUAAUCAGAACUUUAAAUAUAUUUAUUCUUUUUAUUUUUUCACUAUUGUUAUAUACAUCAAUACAACUCAGAUGUUCCAGAGUUUACAUUAUAAUUGAAUUGCAAGCAUUGCUAUGUAACUACAUUCACAAAUAUCACUGUUUUUAAAAUAUAUUUUUAUUUGUAGGUAGACACAAUAUAUUUAUUCAUUUAUAUUUUUAAUAUUUUGUUUAUAUGCUGGUGGACCUUUAUUUAAAAAAUAUUUAUUUUUAGCUAUUGGUGGGCAGAAUAUUUUAUUUUUACAUGAUGCUGAGGAUCAAACCCAUUGCUUCACACAUGGUAGGGAGCAUUCUACCUCUGAGCCACAACCUCAGCCUGGAGGACCUUUAUUUUAUUCAUUUAUUUAUAUGCAUUGCUGAGAAUCAAACCCAGUACCUCACACAUGCUAGGACUGUGUUCUACAACUGAGACACAACCCCAGCCUGCUUAUUCAUUUAUUUUUAUGUAGUGCUCAGUAUUGAAUCUAAUGUCUCACAUGUGAGGCAAGUGCUCUACCACAGAGCUACAGCCCCAGCCCAAAUAUCAUUGUUUUGAUAAUAGCUAUUGGGAAGCCAUGUUACAAAGUAAUAAAUUCAUUCACUUUUUAUUAAUGUAUACAUGAUACAAAACCUAGGCUGGGCAGCCUGGCACAUGUCUAUAAUCCCAGUGGCUCAGGGGCCUGAGGCAGGAGGAUCUUACCCUCAGCAAAAGUGAGGUGCUAAGCAACCCAGUGAAACCCUGUCUCUAAAUAGCAUAUAAAAUAGGGCUGGGGAUAUGGCUCAGUGGUCCAGUGCCCCUGAGUUUAAUACCUGGUACCCCCUCCCCCAAAAAAGUGUGUCUGAGUUUGCUAUUUGUAUUUCACAUUUAACUGUUUGGAUAUUGAACAACAAAGAGAAACUAACAGGAAGCUAUAUUGGAAGCAUAUGUGAAAAUUUCUAAGGCAUUCACAUAAACUUGAGCACACACAACACAAACUCAAUUAGCUCAGCAAUGUUGCAGAUGACAAGAGGAAUACACACAGAAACAGAAGAUUUUUACGCUGGAAAUGAACAAUCUCAAAAUGAAAACAAGAAGCAGUUCUAUUCAAAAUUGUAUGAAACAAAAAUACUUGGAAAUAAAUCUUACAACAGAAGAAGGUUAAGACCCAUUGACCAGAAAGGUAAGACAGAAAGUUGAAAGUAAUCAAGAAAGAGCUAAAUAAAUGGGAAGUAGCUAAUAUUCAAGCACAACAAAACUCAAUAGUGUUAAGAUCAUGUUAUUCCUUAUUUACUGCAUCCAACAGAAUAAAACAAAUAUGACAGUAUAUCAUUGUGCAUCUUGGAUCCAAAGGUCUUGAGUGCUUCUUGUCUUCCUAGUAGAACCCUCUUUCUCCAUGAGCGCAAAGACUGUGUUGCUGAUGGAGGAGGAGAUACCAUGGGGAGGAGAACCAAGGUGCCCCAGGCAACAGCCAGUUCUCCCCAGAAGCAGAGUUUCCUGGUCAACACGUAGAACACAGGCCGGGUGGGCCCCACUGUGCCCAGAUUGCUGACCAGUCACUCUUGAGCUGGUACCUUAUGGAGUGAUUUGUUCUGCAGUCAGAGCCACGUGACACAUAGACUCAGUGCAGAUGGGAGGCCAGGGUUCAACAACACAUUCACUGGGAGUUACUGGCCAACAACAGGAAGCCAAUAGGAACUGAGUUAUCUUCCCCUUGUUUAAGGUUGGGUUUCCUAUUAGAUGGUGUUGAGUUACACAGGUUAUGCAUAUGAACAUCUGUACAUGUGAUUGGUAGUCACAGGGCACUCUUCCUGUGAAGAGGAAACACACAACCACAGCCUGCAGAUUAGAGCCAAGCUACUGGCAGGGAAGGGAUGUUCCCUCAUUAUCGCAUAAAAGUAGGUGGAUGUUAUAGGUCCUUUUCUGCUGACAGACAUCAGGGGGUCACAAACCUCACAGAUGCACCUAUGUGGCAGCCACAAAGAUUAGGUUGGACUCCUGAGCACAUGGAAUGUGGCUGGUUUGCAUUGAGCUACUGAGAGAAUACAGUAUAUUUUAAAGAAAUAGUACCAUAAAGACAAGUAGUUAAUUAAUAGUAAUUGAGGGUUAUGGAAAUUAACAUUCCUAUGAGAGCUCACCAAGAAAAAUGAAAAGAGUGUGGCUUGGGAGGAGGGAGAGGAAAUUAGUAAACAUAUACAAUGGACACUGAGGGAAAAAACCAAAAAUUCAUCCCUUCUUGGGUUCUUCCCCAGCAUUUCCACCAAAAGCAGACAUUACCCCUGCUCAACCAUAAUUGGCCCUGAAGGAAGGAAGCAAAUACUAAAAUACUGGUGUCUGGACUUUUUAUCCUUUCCCAUUGCAGAUGAGUCCUGGAAGGAGAAAAGCAAAUAGUCAUGCUCUAGUAACAAUGGGUCCCAGAGAUAAGCAGGGAACACCUGGUUGUGAGCUUUUCCCAAUGACAAUAAGUUUUAAACUUUUUACAACUGCAUUCCUGAGUUAAAAUUUUAGCUUGCACUACUAGGUCCCUGAGCAGCCAAACUGCAUGUCUACAAUCUCCAAUGAUUAAUUCAUCCUCAUUGUAAACUAUGAAACCCAAACUCCUGUAACCUUGGGGAGGCAUUUCCAUACCCAGAAAAUGAGCCCUCCUAUGCCUGAUGGAUUGACUUCCCUGCAGAAUAAAGGAAAGUUGCUGACAUUAAAGAGUUGCUGUCUCCUGCCUCAGUCAUUUGUGGGCCAUGUACUUACAGUAAUACCUCAUUGCAUCGGUUGCAUAGAAAAAUAAUUAUAUUUUACAUAUAUUGCAUUAAAGAAAUCAACCAUUUCACCUGUGACUCUCGCGUUUUGAAUCUUUAUUUAUUUAUUUAUUUUUUUUGCUGGGGAUGGAACACAGGGCUUUGCCUUUGCUACAAAAACACUCUACCACUGAGUUAUGCCUGAGCUACUUUACAUGUUUCUUUUUUGUUUUUAUGUGGCUUUCAGAAAGUUUAAAAAUACAUAACACAUUUCAUUUCAAUUAAACAGGGCCUUCCUUUCCAUAGCUGGGGCUGAGCCAUCUAAAAGAACACAGGUGAGGAAGGUCAUGCAAUUUUAAAUUGUAAUAAAAUUCUCAAGUUACUCCCAAUCGUGAACAGCACAGUUAUUUGUACAUAUCGCUGACAUUCUUUAGUCCUCUUCCCCUGUUGCCUUCUACACCAGGAUGAAUAUAAACGUUUCCCGCCAGGCUCAGGUCCCAGCUCGCCAAGGAAGCCCUGCCUGAAAAGGGCUGGGCCAAGAGCCUGUCAUCUGGACUGUAUCAGCCAACGAUUGGGUUAGAAUAGCUGUCACUCAAGGCUGCUACAGUACCUGGAGGCGGAGCAGGAGAGGAACUGUCCAAUCAGGUGCGCGGAGGAAGGUGAAGGGCGGGCUCUCGCAAUCUCGAGGUUUUCCCUCUCCCUUGCUGAGCUCCUUCCUCCAUUGAUCCUUUGUCCUCUUCUCCGGAUCCCCGGGGACUCUGCGUAACCUGGGGCCCGAAGGAGUUCAGAAACCAGACGUCUCUAGAAAGGACGGCGGGUCACCCUGGAGUCCCCAAACGGUGAGUGUGGCC
rnacentral:lncRNA from 1 species